ACCAUGAUGGCUGAGCGGUCAAAAGCGGUGGACUUAAGAUCUAUUAUCCAAAGGGAUGCGUGGGUUCGAAUCCCGCUCAUGGUA
rnacentral:tRNA from 1 species